UAAAAAUUGGGGUGGUGAUGGUGGUAUAU
rnacentral:piRNA from 1 species